rnacentral:rRNA from 1 species
CAUUAAUGAUUUAUGAUGGGAGUUGAUGCUGGCAGCUUUCUUUGGCUGCAAUGUGCUCGCUUCCUAUCAAUCAUAUUCCAAACACCUGUGCACCAUCUUUUGAGGGGGGUCCUUGUUUUCACCCCCUCGAAUUCUAAUAACUACCUAUAAUGCUGAACGUGUUGUGCCGUAAGGCCUUAAUGAAAAAUACAACUUUUAACAACGGAUCUCUUGGCUCUCGCAUCGAUGAAGAACGCAGCGAAAUGCGAUAAGUAAUGUGAAUUGCAGAAUUCAGUGAAUCAUCGAAUCUUUGAACGCACCUUGCGCUCCCUGGUAUUCCGGGGAGCACGCCUGUUCGAGUGUCGCGAAAUUCUCAAGCUUGGGAUUUAUUAUGUCCCCAGUCUUGGUUGUUGGGCUUUGCCAUAUUACCUUCGUUGGAGGGGGGGGAUGGCUGGCCUUAAAAAUAUUAGCUGACCUUGAAAUGAUUAUUGGUUCUACUCAGCGUGAUAAAUAUCUGAUCGCCGAGGACAUCCCUUUGGGAUGGCCAAUUGUUGUUUGGGUUGCUUCUAAUCAUGCUCGUUUCAUGGACUUUUUCGAUCUGUGGAAUCUGCUUUUUCGACUUUUGACCUCGAAUCAGGUGGGACUACCCGCUGAACUUAAGCAUAUCAAUAAGCGGAGGAAAAGAAACUAACAAGGAUUCCCCUAGUAACGGCGAGUGAAGCGGGAAGAGCUCAAAUUUAAAAUCUGGCAACCUUUGGUUGUCCGAAUUGUAAUCUAGAGAAGCGUUUUCCGCGCUGGACUGUGUACAAGUUUCCUGGAUACGGAACAUCAUA